rnacentral:rRNA from 1 species
UAAUACGGAGGGUGCAAGCGUUAUCCGGAUUCACUGGGUUUAAAGGGUGCGUAGGCGGGUAUAUAAGUCAGUGGUGAAAGCUCCGAGCUUAACUUGGAAACUGCCAUUGAUACUGUAUACCUUGAAUGUCGUAGAGGUUAGCGGAAUGUUGCAUGUAGCGGUGAAAUGCUUAGAUAUGUUACAGAACACCAAUUGCGAAGGCAGCUAACUAUGCGAUAAUUGACGCUGAGGCACGAAAGCGUGGGGAGCAAACAGGAUUAGAUACCCUGGUAGUCCACGCCCUAAACGAUGAUUACUCGAUGUUGGCGAUACACUGUCAGCGUCUUAGCGAAAGCGUUAAGUAAUCCACCUGGGGAGUACGCUCGCAAGAGUG